rnacentral:rRNA from 1 species
GUGAGGAAUAUUGGUCAAUGGGCGGGAGCCUGAACCAGCCAAGUCGCGUGAAGGAAGAAGGAUCUAUGGUUCGUAAACUUCUUUUGCAGGGGAAUAAAGUGCGGGACGUGUCCUGUUUUGUAUGUACCCUGAGAAUAAGGAUCGGCUAACUCCGUGCCAGCAGCCGCGGUAAUACGGAGGAUCCGAGCGUUAUCCGGAUUUAUUGGGUUUAAAGGGUGCGUAGGUGGUUUGAUAAGUCAGCGGUGAAAGUUUGCAGCUUAACUGUAAAAAUGCCGUUGAAACUGUCGGACUUGAGUGUAAAGGAGGUAGGCGGAAUGCGUGGUGUAGCGGUGAAAUGCAUAGAUAUCACGCAGAACUCCGAUUGCGAAGGCAGCUUACUAAGCUACAACUGACACUGAAGCACGAAAGCGUGGGGAUCAAACAGGAUUAGAUACCCGGGUAGUCC